GUUCCCGAUGGUUUUUCUUCGUGUUUAAUUAUGUUGCAAUGUUUUGCUAAAAAAGCACCAACAGUUCCUAACGGGGCACUGUCUGUUUAUUUCUAUGGUCGCAACACCGCCGAAGAAGAGGAGGUGAAAGCUGAUUCGCUGGAAGCGGAAAACGUCACUUCCGCAAGUUAGUUAAGUACGUGAGACAAACGUUCGUUGGCCACGUUUUCGUUUCGACCGUUGAAGAGCAAGCUGCUAAAUCUGGCGUCUCUUGUUGAAGUGGUUUUUAAAAGGAUUUAAAGCUUUGUUUGUUCUAUUUCAACCACUAGUUGAUACUAUUAUAAAUCAUUUACUUUUAGACAACCAAAGACAAUUUUUUUUUCUUGGCAAUGUUUCUUGAAAUCACGACAAUGAAAGGAAACUACCAGAAGGACAUCAAGACCGCGCCUGUUCACAAGAAAAAGUGGUCAAAACCGAAGAGGAGGACAUUUCUGCGCUCAAAUAUGGGCGAAAGGAGAAGAAGGGUCCGCGUCUGGUCGUCGUCGAGACCGCAGCGGAGUCCGGACCGUGUCGACAGGACAGCUACGGGGAAUCAACGUCACCUAACAGUAGCCAUGGCACCAAGAAACACGACGCAAUAUUUAAUGGACCUGGUGUAUGCUGAGAGAUUAGACGUUUCAAUGGAGGCAUGUGACCAGCGAGACUUCGAGAGCGUGUUCUUCAGGAAUGAAAUCUGACGUGUUUUCCAAAACCUGACUCGAUUUCGUCGGAACGAGGCGACCGGGCUGCUGUGUAACCAUAGACAGUAACAUCAUUGCGCAGACUCCAACUCGGGGAGGCGGAACGCUCUGCGUCACAGCUGCGCGAUGACGUGUACGCCCCGCCCUCAGCACGGCCACCAUCACGUGGCCAGCAGGUAAACCCGCUCCACCCUUUGUGUACGCGGUGUAAGAGCGUUGCAGUAACGUGCAGUCGCAGUGUAAUUGCUGAGGAGUGUGCAUGCAUUGUUCUGCAAACGGAUGCAUGUGUAUUUUCAGAGACUUUUACAGGUUGCUGAUCCUCCUCGGCGGAUCUCAGCUGUCUGUGCAACCCACCCAGAGCCUUGGGACAAAGCCGCAUGGCUGCCUGCUCAUCACUGCUGGGGAACUGUACAUGCUGUGUGGUAAAUGCUUGAAUGUAAAUCUACACAAGUGCACUCAGAGCUACAUCUCAUGUGUGAUGAUAUAGUUUGUGAGAACUUUUGUCAAUAUUUAUUGUAUUAACUAUUAAAAUUUUGUUAAUUCUUAAAACUUAAAUCUGACUUACAUUUUCUUUUUUUUUAUUAAACACUGUGCACACUACAUUCCCAUUACGUGAUUAUGUAACAGUAUCAACUUAAUACUUGCAAAUACACUAUAGCCUACAUAAGCUUUGAUUUUCAUGGAAGAUUAAGUUUUAUAAUGUAAGCACAAGAAGGCUUCACACCUUAUGACCUCCUUCCAGUGUUCAUGAACCUAGAACUGGUUUUCAGCCAGGGUACUGCAAGAUGACUAAUAAUAAAAUUACAGGGAUAUAGAAUAUGUUGUCUCUUAUUUCUCACAUUCUGUCAGCUGUUGUUUCUGUGUACUGUGUUUCUGGAGUUACAAUUAGUAUGCAAGUUUAAAAUGAGAAGAUUUAUAGAAGUACCAGAAUUAUUAUUUGCCGUCUGUGGGGUGUUCGGAUGUUACCUUGCGCAGUUGGGGCCCAUGGAGCUUGAGGACUGCGGCUGAAGAAUACUGGGGUGGGGGGGAAAGGUAAUAUUUUUAUUUUUUAUUAUUAUUAUUUUGUAAAUGAACAGCUUUACAAAUCAAAUACCAUGCAAGGUUUAGCAUAAAAAUUAAUGUAUCUGCAAUUACGACUAUGAUUCACUUCCAUUGUAAGUGCUUCACUAUAGCUUUAAUUUGAAGAAAAUCAGUCGUGAUGGAAAACCGAGGCGUUUAUCAAAUUGUCGAAAAACGGUUCAUUAUUCGAAGGUUUUAACACGAUGCGCAUUAGCGAUAUCUUGUGGUUAGUCUUUAACUUUGCGCACUAGACACUUUUCACACGCUGUUGUGUGUACAUAAUCCCACAAAAGACUCAAAUGUGUUUACAUGCUCGUGCACUACAAAUCAUCUUGCACUGUUACCCAGCCAGCUGCUUGACUUACAAUGUUUCUCUUUGCACGUGCAGUAUUAUGCGAAGCAUUCGUAUAGUCUAUAUAUUUUUUCAUUUUCAGUCUAUGCAUAGGUAAACAUUUAUUUAUAUAUAGUAUAUUCAUAUUCAAAAUAUGUCAGUAGGUUAGUUGUGUAUAGGUAUAGUAUCAUGUGAAGCAUUCGUAUAGUGUUUUUUUUUUUU
ensembl:lncRNA